rnacentral:rRNA from 1 species
AGAGUUUGAUCCUUGGCUCAGGACGAACGCUGGCGGCGUGCCUAAUACAUGCAAGUCGAACGCUUCUUUCCUCCCGAGUGCUUGCACUCAAUUGGAAAGAGGAGCGGCGGACGGGUGAGUAACACGUGGGUAACCUACCCAUCAGAGGGGGAUAACACUUGGAAACAGGUGCUAAUACCGCAUAACAGUUUAUGCCGCAUGGCAUAAGAGUGAAAGGCGCUUUCGGGUGUCGCUGAUGGAUGGACCCGCGGUGCAUUAGCUAGUUGGUGAGGUAACGGCUCACCAAGGCCACGAUGCAUAGCCGACCUGAGAGGGUGAUCGGCCACACUGGGACUGAGACACGGCCCAGACUCCUACGGGAGGCAGCAGUAGGGAAUCUUCGGCAAUGGACGAAAGUCUGACCGAGCAACGCCGCGUGAGUGAAGAAGGUUUUCGGAUCGUAAAACUCUGUUGUUAGAGAAGAACAAGGACGUUAGUAACUGAACGUCCCCUGACGGUAUCUAACCAGAAAGCCACGGCUAACUACGUGCCAGCAGCCGCGGUAAUACGUAGGUGGCAAGCGUUGUCCGGAUUUAUUGGGCGUAAAGCGAGCGCAGGCGGUUUCUUAAGUCUGAUGUGAAAAGCCCCCGGCUCAACCGGGGAGGGUCAUUGGAAACUGGGAGACUUGAGUGCAGAAGAGGAGAGUGGAAUUUCCAUGUGUAGCGGUGAAAUGCGUAGAUAUAUGGAGGAAUACCAGUGGCGAAUGCGGCUCUCUGGUCUGUAACUGACGCUGAGCUCGAAAGCGUGGGGAGCAAACAGAUUAGAUACCCUGGUAGUCCACGCCGUA